rnacentral:rRNA from 1 species
AACGUAGGUCACAAGUGUUGUCCGGAAUUACUGGGUGUAAAGGGAGCGCAGGCGGGAAGACAAGUUGGAAGUGAAAUCCAUGGGCUCAACCCAUGAACUGCUUUCAAAACUGUUUUUCUUGAGUAGUGCAGAGGUAGGCGGAAUUCCCGGUGUAGCGGUGGAAUGCGUAGAUAUCGGGAGGAACACCAGUGGCGAAGGCGGCCUACUGGGCACCAACUGACGCUGAGGCUCGAAAGUGUGGGUAGCAAACAGG